UGGAGACAGGUGGAGACAGGUGGAGACAGGAGGAGACAGAGGAGACAGAGGAGACAGGUGGAGACAGGAGGAGACAGGUGGAGACAGGAGGAGACAGGAGGAGACAGGAGGAGACAGGUGGAGACAGGUGGAGACAGGAGGAGACAGGUGGAGACAGGAGGAGACAGGAGGAGACAGGAGGAGACAGGUGGAGACAGGAGGAGACAGGUGGAGACAGGAGACAGGAGGAGACAGGUGGAGACAGGUGGAGACAGGUGGGGACAGGUGGAGACAGGUGGACAGGUGGAGACAGGUGGAGACAGGAGGAGACAGGUGGGACAGGAGGAGACAGGGAGGAGACAGGGAGGAGACAGGAGGAGACAGGUGGAGACAGGUGGAGACAGGUGGAGACAGGAGGAGACAGGUGGAGACAGGUGGAGACAGGAGGAGACAGGAGGAGACAGGUGGAGACAGGAGGAGACAGGAGGAGACAGGAGGAGACAGGUGGAGACAGGAGGAGACAGGAGGAGACAGGAGGAGACAGGUGGAGACAGGUGGAGACAGGAGGAGACAGGUGGAGACAGGAGGAGACAGGAGGAGACAGGUGGAGACAGGAGGAGACAGGUGGAGACAGGAGGAGACAGGAGGAGACAGGGGAGACAGGUGGAGACAGGUGGAGACAGGUGGAGACAGGAGGAGACAGGAGGAGACAGGAGGAGACAGGUGGAGACAGGUGGAGACAGGUGGAGACAGGAGGAGACAGGUGGAGACAGGAGGAGACAGGUGGAGACAGGAGGAGACAGGAGGAGACAGGUGGAGACAGGUGGAGACAGGUGGAGACAGGUGGAGACAGGAGGAGACAGGAGGAGACAGGAGGAGACAGGUGGAGACAGGUGGAGACAGGUGGAGACAGGAGGAGACAGGUGGAGACAGGUGGAGACAGGUGGAGACAGGUGGAGACAGGUGAGUGGUUCCGGUGUUUCUGGACCUACGGUGCCUGAGUCUUGGUGGUGUACUCCUUGA
rnacentral:lncRNA from 1 species